ensembl:snRNA U5 U5 spliceosomal RNA
AUACUCUGGUUUCUCUUCAGAGAAAAUAAAUCUUUCACCUUUUCCUCAAGAUUUCAUUGUAGAGGACUAAGCAAGAGUUUUUUGCUUAAUUUUGAGACCUUGUUAUUGUAAGAC